UUGACCUCAAAUCGGGUGAGACUACCCGGAGAACUUAAGCAUAU
rnacentral:rRNA from 1 species